UACAGAGGCCUCGAGCGUUAAUCGGAGUCACUGGGCUUAAAGGGUGCGUAGGCGGCGCUGCAAGUGCCUUGUGAAAUCCCACGGCUCAACCGUGGAAUUGCUCGGCAGACUGCGGUGCUUGAGGUUGGUAGGGGUCGCUGGAACUCUAGGUGGAGCGGUGAAAUGCGUAGAUAUCUAGAGGAACGCCGAAGGUGAAGACAGGCGACUGGGCCAAUUCUGACGCUGAGGCACGAAAGCGUGGGGAGCGAACGGG
rnacentral:rRNA from 1 species